AGAGGCACAUAAAAUUGAACUCGGUCAUCGGUAGAUAUAAUCAAUCCGAAUUCAAGAGCAAAAAUAUAUUUAAAAAAAAAGAAAGAAAUUCAUGAUAAAUUCACAACAAAUCUCAAAAGGGAGUAAAUGAUUCAUCUAGAUAAUUAUCACAUAUUCAGUGGGUACCGUCCGUAUAAAACUUAUAAAAUAUACCUUCCGGAAUUUUCCAGCCUCCAUUUAUGUACUACAUGUACAUUACCAGUGACGUCACUGGAAAGAGAAGUCUGACGUCUGCAAGUUCUAGGGCCUAGCUAAAGUGUAUUACAUAAUGGAGACUUGGGUUACCAAAAACAGAAAAUAUUGACCAUGUUGAGGCAGUGAGCUGUCUUGGUCAGCACCCAGGUGUAUCCAUCAACACGGGCACGUUACAUCUAAAUGAAGGACAAAAAGUAUACACUUGGAACACACACAAAAACAGAUGAGUUCAUGCCAAGCUAAAGAUUAAUGCAGAUGGUAAGUUCAAUUUUUCAUUUUGUAACUCUUCUGGUUUUAUCCAGAUCGGACCUUACAUAUAAUUAAGUCAGCUUCAGUAUAUAAUAGAAGAAUAUGGAGAUAACGAACAGUAUUCAAUCUCAAAGUCCAUAAAACUAUACAAAAUAAGAGCAGAGCAAACACGGACCCCCGAAACAUCAGAGGUGGGAUCAGGUGCCAUAA